GAACUAUAAACUGACUACACAGCUCCCUGGCCCGGGAAGGCUAUGAAACAGGCAACAUGGACAAUUUAAAGGUGUACAACAUCCGAGGUUCCAUUUCACCCUCAGGCAGCACGGAGUGGACAAGGUAAGGCCACCCUCCACUUUUCUUCUGGCUACUAUAUUGAUUCUCUGGAAACUCUCUCUGCUCCAAAAGAAACCACCCAAUCCCAUGGAGAAAAGGUGACACUGAAUUUGCACUGCUUUUUAUGGUUGCAUUUGUUUGACUAAGAGGGAGCAGAGUUCCAUACAACAGACUGCUUUAGUUGGGUGACUUGAAAAUAACACAUACCAGAUUAGUUCUCCAGAUGCAGAUUAGUACUAAGUUUGAAUCCUUUCUUUUAAAUUAAUUAAUGUAAUCUCAAUGUUUACAUAAUAGACAUUGACUUUUAUCUGGCACAUACAGUAUAUGACUCUGCCUUUAGCAAAAAUACCAUUCAAGCUAUCUUUAGCAGAUGUGAAUGUUUUAUUUUUAUUUUGGGGACUCCAAAGAGAGUCCAUAACCUACCUUGGCAUUGUCAGAUCUCAAAAAAAGCUUUCUUCAUACUUGCAAUAUAGUAAUAUCUAAGUACUUGGACAUCUCUGCACAAAAUAUAUGGGUCCACAUCUCCCUGUUUUUCCAUAUACUAUUCCCUCUGCAACCUUGUUCACAUAGCAAACUCUAAUUUAUUCUUCAAUAGGCAGCCUAUGCCACCUUCCCUCAACUAUCCCAGACCAGUAGUCAUCACUGCCUCCUCUACCCCUUGUACAUUUCUCUAUGUGGUCUCACCAGAGAAGUACUAUGUUUGCUCAUAUGUCUGGUCUCACCAGACAGUACCAUGUUUGCUCAACUCAAAGUUCCUUGAGGAAAUAAUUGUAUUUGUAUCUCCAGUGCCUUGCAUAUUUUGUAUCACAUAAUGAGUUCUAUAAAAGAGAACUAAACUGAUGUGGCUAUGAAAUGAUUUACAGCUUUUAACUGGAAUGAGCCUAGUACAAGACUCACUUAGAUGCUGGUGGUUGAUCCUAAGUUUCUCAUGCUGUUAUCUGCAAUCAUUUGCUCUUGCUCUACAUUCAGAAGAGAAAGAAAAACUGGUGACACUAAUCUGGCCUCUAUAUCAUAAUUAGACCAGGGGUAGGAUCUGAGAAACUAGAAAAUAUUUAGCCUACCCCUAGUCACAUCCUAAAAGACAUCAAUGUGGAACUCAAGGAACUCAGUGGAUUUACCAACAUUUAUCAUACCCUAUAUCCACCCAUUAUAACUACUUGAAUUGUCAUGGAUGGGAACAGAAGAUAGAUUUUAUUGUGGAGAACAGAAUAAAUCUAAUAAAAGAAAUAACUAGAGGAAAAGUUGGGGCUAGUUGACGUUUUUAAGUAGAGAUGGGAAAAACAUAAAUGAUGGUGGUCAGCACAGAAAGUUUUGAAUAUAAGGACUUUAGAAAUCAAUGUGGUCACUCUUUUCUAGUAAUAGGCUGACCAUGGACAAAAAUAAUAGGAACAUUAUUCCCUAGUUCCUUUGCAAUGUACUGUACUGUUAUUUAAGCAUCCCAGCAUCAUGCUUGCUUUGAUAAAUACAAAUCUAGCUCAAUUGCCAUGAUUCUGCUUUGAGGCUCUCUCUUUUUUAAUGAUUUAUAUGUCAUGCUCCCCAAAAGUCUUUCUAAAAUCACUGCAACCUCCGCCUCCAGGGUUCAAGGGAUCAUCCCACCUCGGCCUCCUACUAGAUGGAAAUACAGGCCUGAGCCACCACAACCAGCUUGCUAUGCACUUUAUAUACACCAUCUAUAUGUAUACCACCCUCCCAACAACUCCACUUGGUAGGAAUAAUUAUUCUCAUUUUAAAUCAGUUUUAACCUAGGUGUCUCUGGUUCUAGAUCUAGUAUUUUUUCUACAAAUAAUACGGUUCCAAUUUCUUUCUUUUCUUUCUUUUUGUAGAGAUGGGGUCUCACUUUGUCACCCAGGCUGGGCUCAAACUCUUGGCUUCAAGCGAUCUUCUCGCCUUGGUCUCCCAAAGUGCUGGGAUUACAGGCUUGAACUACUGUACUCGACUGACUUUUCCUAUUUCUAAUGUCAGCAUGAAGAACACAAGAAGUCAGCUUCAAAGGUAAGAGGUGUAUCAUUCAUUCAUUCAACAUUUAUUCCACAGCUACGAUGAACCAGGCACUAUAGUCUCUUUGAGGAUAUAAACAUAAAUAAGUUCUGGGACUCGACUUCAGCUUGCUCACAGUCUAAUGGAAAAGAGACAUAAAAACAACUUGGUUUAUUCUAUUUUCCCUAGGCUCUGUAUUUGGAUCCCCACACCUUGUCACUUUUUGCUGCCACUUUACAAACUUUCCAUAUCUUAAGAGUUACUCUAUCUUUAUUUACACAUUAGUAAAACACAAGAAACCUGCCCCAUUUCGUAAGCUGCCUACACUGCUAAAAUCACAUCCUAGAGGGAAGUGAGAUGGAACAAACCAUAAGCAUUUGAACUCGCUUGUGCCGCUCUGGGUUUCCAUGCUGCCAGGGUGUUUGUUCAUUCAUUUAUUUGCAUAUUUUGGAGGGCCUACAGGAGGCCCAGUGCUAGCCAGGGAAACAGCGGUGAAAAUGACAUAACUAGUGUUCUGCCCCCAUGGAGCUUACCCUCUAACCUUUACAGGAAGGGGAGGCAGACAGUCAACAAAAUCCUGGAUUGUGAUAGGUGAGUCAUUAAGGAAAAUCACAGGGUGCUAUGAGAAAGCACAUAUGGUACAGGGACCUAACCUUGGCAGGGGGAUGAGGAAGGCCUCCCCUAGGAAGUGGCAUGAAAGCUGAGAUCUGUGAGUUGAGUGGGAUUAGCUUGGUGAAGAUAGGGGGAAGACGGACAAGGAGGGAAACAGAGAAGAGGAUUCCAAGCUGAGGGAACAGUGCAUACAAAGGGCUGAAGCUGGAAAGAACACAAUACCUCUGAGGUCAGGAAAGAAGGCUAGCAUUUGCAGAAGACAGGCAAUACGAGGGACGGGGUCCGGAGACAGAGCUGGGAAGGAAGCACUGGCCUGAUGAUGCAGUGGUGUUCUGGAUUUCAAAUCUCAUUCUAAGAGCAGCGGGAACAUAUUGAAAGGUUAAAGCAGCUCAGUUGAGUGCACUUAAUGUUCUUUAAAAUUCCCUUGGCUACCUAUGAUUGAAGUAUUGAGAAAAACACAGUGUGAAAACAUGUUUCAUUAAUGAAAAACUUGUUUAGAAUACAAAAGUGGUAUAGAUAAAAGAGUUCUAAAUAAAAAAUAAUGGGUUUUAUUCAUAGCAUUAUUAUCCCAAGUAAGUCAUUUAAUCUCAAAAUAUUUUUGUUUCCUCAUCUAGCAAAUGAAAAUACUAAAAAAUUCAAAAUUCACAUACUUGUUUUAAAAAGCAAAUGAAAUAAUACAUUUGAAAAUGCUUUGAAUCUCUAAAAUGUAAGCUCCUUGAGGGAAGGGACUUUGACUAUUUUACUACUAUACCUAGGACCUAGAAGAUGGAUGGACGGAUGGAUGGAUGGAUGGACGGAUGGAUGGGAUGGAUGGACAGAUGGAUGGACUGAUGAACAGACGGAUGGCUGGAUAAAAGAAAGUGAGGGAGGAAGACAAGAAGGGAAAAAAAGAAAGGAAGGGAAGGAGGGAGGAAGGGAAAAAAGGAUGGACAGGCCAGGCAGGUGGCUCACGCCUGUAAUCCGAGCACCUUGGGAGGCUGAGGUAGACAGAUGGCCUGAGCCCAGGAGUUUGAGACCAGCCUGGGCAACAUGGCAAAACCCUGUCUCCUCAAAAAAUAUAAAAAUUUAGCAGGGUGUGGUAGCGCAUGCCUGUAGUAACAGCUUCUCAGAAGGCUGUGGUGUAGGAUCGAUUGAGCCUAGGAGAUUGAGGCUGCAGUGGGCCUUGAUCACCACUGCAGUCUAGCCUGGGUGACAGAGUGAGAUGCUGCCUCAAAAAAAAAAAAAAACAAAGGAUGGAUGAAUGGAUGAAUGAAUCACAUCAAGCACCAUAUUGUGCAAAUAUGAAGCAAGACAUACAGCAUGUGGCAGUCCACCUGAGCAGGCAGCCUCCCCAGGAACUCAAUGUCACAGCAUCACCAAUGCUUGCCAAGCAGCCAGGCCUUCCUUCAGUGCUGGCACACUGGGCACCUCCAGCAGCUAUUCCAGACGGCUGGGUGAUGGGGGCAAGCACAGCAUCAGAGGCCCAUGACAUCACCUCUUCAGUGUGGCUGGUGAGAGGGGCGAUUGUGAGAAAUGAAACACUGCCUUUUCCUGCUUCUUCUUCCUCAUACACUAGUCUCUGACACGCACCCCAAAGCCAAGCCCUAAGUACACAUCCUUCUCCACUCAUAUAAUCCCUACCUACAGAUUCUUAUUCUUUGUUUACCAAAUGUAGUAUUAGAAUACAUUUUUAUAUAACUUAUUAACACUUUUCUUAUACUGCACAGUCUUAGCUAUGUGUACCCAAUUUCUUAAAGAAUUACAACUAAAGAUAAAAAAGAGAAGAGGAAAAAUAUUAAAAGCCUUAACAUGUUCUUUGAUAUUUAUUAGCUUUAUAACAAUAAUGAUAGUAACCAUUCAUUGAAUACUGACUUUCCUCCAGGCAUAGAGUUUGACACUUAGCCUAUAUCACUUCAAAUCCUUACAACCCCUAAAAAGGUCAGCAUUAUGACUCCAUUUCUUGGGGAAGAAAAUUGAGGCACAGAGCAGAAUGAUUUGCCCAAGGUUAGGAGGUUGUUAAGGGCAGAACCAGUGUUCAAAUCUGGGUCUAUUAGACAAGACAGUGUGCAUUCUUUCCAUUACACUACAUAUUAUUAUGAAAAUCUUCUAAAAGAAAUUGGACUACUUAUGAAAAAAGAGCAACCACUUACUGAACAUUUAAUCUGCCAGGCAGUUAUGCUCUUUACAAAAAUUAUGUCAUUUAAUCCUCUCAACAACUCUGUCAGGUCUGUACUUUUGAAAUGAAGAAACUAAAGCUUAGAGAGACUAGAGUGACUUGCCAAAGCUCAAAAAACGACUAAGUGGUAGAGCCUGGAUUUUAACCCAGGUCUGUCUGACUCUAAAAUGCACCCUCUUAACUGCUACACAAGAGUUCCACUAUUCAAAUAUCAUCAGUAUAACUUGUAUGCCUUCAAAGGAGAAUGUCAAAACAGAAGAACAGGGUCAAAAAACCAUUUUAAAGAUAAUUCAAAAUAACUACUGCAUUAAGACACCAUCUCUAAGAGCCCAUUACUAACCAUUUUCUCUGAGAUGUUGCCUUGUUCUGUUGUCCCAAAUGGCCUUUAGAACGAUCUGCAACCAGUGUUUUCAAUACAAGUGUUUUCCUUUUACAUUUGGUAAGUAAUUUAAAAAUCUGUUUCUAAAACUACCAGUUCAACCAAAUGGAGCUCAUAACUCUGCGCCCAAAUCUUUAGAGACACUGAAAAUGCACACUAAAGUUACUUAGUCCACAAUUCUUAUUAAAUAAUGUUCUUUGAUGGUCAGGAUAAUGUUCAAAGUCACUGUGCAAAUUGCUCAUGUCAUAUAAAAUACUAGAUUUCACUGUUUCUUUCUUUCUUUUUU
rnacentral:lncRNA from 1 species